GUCAAACACCGGCUCCCGUACAAUUACCGAAGUUACGCAUCGUCAAGCCUGGUCAGUACCUAGAUAGGUGACCGCUUGAGAAUUCCUGGUGCUGUAA